rnacentral:rRNA from 1 species
GACGAACGCUGGCGGCGUGCCUAAUACAUGCAAGUAGAACGCUGAAGAGAGGAGCUUGCUCUUCUUGGAUGAGUUGCGAACGGGUGAGUAACGCGUAGGUAACCCGCCUUGUAGCGGGGGAUAACUAUUGGAAACGAUAGCUAAUACCGCAUAACAAUGGAUGACACAUGUCAUUUAUUUGAAAGGGGCAAUUGCUCCACUACAAGAUGGACCUGCGUUGUAUUAGCUAGUAGGUGAGGUAACGGCUCACCUAGGCGACGAUACAUAGCCGACCUGAGAGGGUGAUCGGCCACACUGGGACUGAGACACGGCCCAGACUCCUACGGGAGGCAGCAGUAGGGAAUCUUCGGCAAUGGGGGCAACCCUGACCGAGCAACGCCGCGUGAGUGAAGAAGGUUUUCGGAUCGUAAAGCUCUGUUGUAAGUCAAGAACGAGUGUGAGAGUGGAAAGUUCACACUGUGACGGUAGCUUACCAGAAAGGGACGGCUAACUACGUGCCAGCAGCCGCGGUAAUACGUAGGUCCCGAGCGUUGUCCGGAUUUAUUGGGCGUAAAGCGAGCGCAGGCGGUUUGAUAAGUCUGAAGUUAAAGGCUGUGGCUCAACCAUAGUUCGCUUUGGAAACUGUCAAACUUGAGUGCAGAAGGGGAGAGUGGAAUUCCAUGUGUAGCGGUGAAAUGCGUAGAUAUAUGGAGGAACACCGGUGGCGAAAGCGGCUCUCUGGUCUGUAACUGACGCUGAGGCUCGAAAGCGUGGGGAGCGAACAGGAUUAGAUACCCUGGUAGUCCACGCCGUAAACGAUGAGUGCUAGGUGUUGGAUCCUUUCCGGGAUUCAGUGCCGCAGCUAACGCAUUAAGCACUCCGCCUGGGGAGUACGACCGCAAGGUUGAAACUCAAAGGAAUUGACGGGGGCCCGCACAAGCGGUGGAGCAUGUGGUUUAAUUCGAAGCAACGCGAAGAACCUUACCAGGUCUUGACAUCCCGAUGCUAUUUCUAGAGAUAGAAAGUUACUUCGGUACAUCGGUGACAGGUGGUGCAUGGUUGUCGUCAGCUCGUGUCGUGAGAUGUUGGGUUAAGUCCCGCAACGAGCGCAACCCCUAUUGUUAGUUGCCAUCAUUCAGUUGGGCACUCUAGCGAGACUGCCGGUAAUAAACCGGAGGAAGGUGGGGAUGACGUCAAAUCAUCAUGCCCCUUAUGACCUGGGCUACACACGUGCUACAAUGGUUGGUACAACGAGUUGCGAGUCGGUGACGGCAAGCUAAUCUCUUAAAGCCAAUCUCAGUUCGGAUUGUAGGCUGCAACUCGCCUACAUGAAGUCGGAAUCGCUAGUAAUCGCGGAUCAGCACGCCGCGGUGAAUACGUUCCCGGGCCU